GAAAAGAACUUUGAAGAAAGAGUUCAAGAGAACGUGAAACUACCACGAGGUUAAAGCGGAUGUACAUACGUAGCCGAUAAGGGGGCCUCAUCUCCUCUAGCCUCCAGCGGUCGUCGCGUUCGGACCUUCGCUUUCCGUCCACGCUUCGGCGGGGAUAACCUUUUAGCGAAGGCCGUCGCGACGGCGGACUCGGAGGAUGGGGGGUGGAUUUCCCUCCUUCGUAGGCAGUCGCGGCCGUUCGAGAGUCGUCUAAGACCCGGGAGUUUUAGGGAACCGUCCGGCGAAUAAUACUCGCGUGGCGGGGACGCUCCCUCGAUUCUGGCGGACUUUCGGACGGUAGCUAAAAAAUGACGACGUUAGGAGAGACGUCGGGAGUGGUGGAGGGGGAGGAAUUUCUUCCGCCGUCGCCGCUGCCGCGUCUCUUCUCGUCGUACGCGGCUGUGACGCGAUCGUUCAUCCGUCCCGUCUUGAAACACGGACCAAGGAGUCUAACAUGUACGCGAGUCAACGGGUUGGCUAAACCCCUAGGCGCAACGAAAGUAAAAAAGAGCUUACUCCUUAACGGGGGCACGCUCGUUGGGUCGAUCCGUGAUCCACUUCAACGACAACUAACUUCUACUACUACUUCUGCUUCUCCAUUUUCUUCGUCCGUCCUCUUCGUUGUAGGGCGGCGAGGCGAGUUGGGGGUGGAGGUGUGGGUGACGGAGUCUGGUUCGUCGUCGUCGUAAGGACCGGCGCAGACCCGGGGCUCGCCGCUACCUUCUCGAGACAAUUUCGUCUCGAGGCGGGCGGCGGGCACCUAGAGCGUACAUGCUAGUACCCGAAAGAUGGUGAUCUAUGCUUGGCCAGGAUGAAGCCAGAGGAAACUCUGGUGGAGGUCCG
rnacentral:rRNA from 1 species